UACGUAGGGAGCAAGCGUUGUUCGGAUUUACUGGGCGUAAAGGGCGCGUAGGCGGCAACUCAAGUCAUCUGUGAAAUCUCCGGGCUUAACUCGGAACGGUCAGAUGAUACUGUUUUGCUAGAGUGCAGAAGGGGCAAUCGGAAUUCUUGGUGUAGCGGUGAAAUGCGUAGAUAUCAAGAGGAACACCAGAGGUGAAGACGGGUUGCUGGGCUGACACUGACGCUGAGGCGCGAAAGCCAGGGGAGCAAACGGG
rnacentral:rRNA from 1 species